CGAGCGAACAGAUAAGGAGCUUGCUCCUUUGACGUUAGCGGCGGACGGGUGAGUAACACGUGGAUAACCUACCUAUAAGACUGGGAUAACUUCGGGAAACCGGAGCUAAUACCGGAUAAGAUUUUGAACCGCAUGGUUCAAUAGUGAAAGACGGCCUUGCUGUCACUUAUAGAUGGAUCCGCGCCGUAUUAGCUAGUUGGUAAGGUAACGGCUUACCAAGGCAACGAUACGUAGCCGACCUGAGAGGGUGAUCGGCCACACUGGAACUGAGACACGGUCCAGACUCCUACGGGAGGCAGCAGUAGGGAAUCUUCCGCAAUGGGCGAAAGCCUGACGGAGCAACGCCGCGUGAGUGAUGAAGGUCUUCGGAUCGUAAAACUCUGUUAUCAGGGAAGAACAAACGUGUAAGUAACUGUGCACGUCUUGACGGUACCUGAUCAGAAAGCCACGGCUAACUACGUGCCAGCAGCCGCGGUAAUACGUAGGUGGCAAGCGUUAUCCGGAAUUAUUGGGCGUAAAGCGCGCGUAGGCGGUUUUUUAAGUCUGAUGUGAAAGCCCACGGCUCAACCGUGGAGGGUCAUUGGAAACUGGAAAACUUGAGUGCAGAAGAGGAAAGUGGAAUUCCAUGUGUAGCGGUGAAAUGCGCAGAGAUAUGGAGGAACACCAGUGGCGAAGGCGACUUUCUGGUCUGUAACUGACGCUGAUGUGCGAAAGCGUGGGGAUCAAACAGGAUUAGAUACCCUGGUAGUCCACGCCGUAAAACGAUGAGUGCUAAGUGUUAGGGGGUUUCCGCCCCUUAGUGCUGCAGCUAACGCAUUAAGCACUCCGCCGGGGGAGUACGACCGCAGGGUUGAAACUCAAAGGAAUUGACGGG
rnacentral:rRNA from 1 species